rnacentral:RNase_P_RNA from 1 species
CUAGAUCAUUGACUGGUCGCCAGUUGACCUAAAAAUUGGCUGGAGGAAAGUCCGGGCAACAAAGAGCAGGACAGUUGCUAACGGCAACCAAAGGAAACUUUAGGGAAAGUGCCACAGAAACUAUACCGCCCCUCACCGCUUUAGCUAGAUAUCAUUUUAUUUAGCUAAAGUGGUGAGGGGUAAGGGUGAAAUGAGUAGGGUAAGAGCCUAUAGUUUACUAGGGUGACUUAGUAAAAUGGUAAACCCUGUCUGUUGCAAGGAGUGGAUUUUUGCCUUUACGGGCUGGUUGCUCGCCAAAAUUCACGUUACUAAAACCGCACGAAUUAGUUAGCAAUAGCUAAUCUAGAUAGAUGGCCAGAUAAAACAGAACCCGGCUUAUGAAUGGUCUAGCAUC